GACAGUGUCAGGUGUUGGGGACGGUGACAGUGCCAGGUGUUGUUGGGGACAAUCACAGCUCCAGGUGUUGGUGGGGACAGUGACGGUGACAGUGACAACACUGGGGAUGGCUCUGGGUGUUGGGGGACAGCUCCGGGUGACAGUGGCGGCGACAACAGUGGGGACGGCUCCGGGUGUUGGGGACAAGUCCAGGUGUUGGUGACAACACUGGGGAUGGCUCCGGGUGUUGGUGACGGUGACAACACUGGGGACGGCUUCGGGUGUUGGCAAGAGCUCUGGGUGUUGGCGAUAGCUCUGGGUGUUGGGGACGGCUCCGAGUGUUGGUGACGGUGACAACACUGGGGAUGGCUCCGGGUGUUGGGGGACGGCUCCGGGUGACGGUGGUGAUGACAACACUGGGGACAACACCAGGUGUUGGG
rnacentral:lncRNA from 1 species